rnacentral:rRNA from 1 species
GUGGGGAAUAUUGGACAAUGGGCGAAAGCCUGAUCCAGCAAUGCCGCGUGAGUGAUGAAGGCCUUAGGGUUGUAAAGCUCUUUUACCAGGGAUGAUAAUGACAGUACCUGGAGAAUAAGCUCCGGCUAACUCCGUGCCAGCAGCCGCGGUAAUACGGAGGGAGCUAGCGUUGUUCGGAAUUACUGGGCGUAAAGCGCACGUAGGCGGCUACUCAAGUCAGAGGUGAAAGCCCGGGGCUCAACCCCGGAACUGCCUUUGAAACUAGGUAGCUAGAAUCUUGGAGAGGUCAGUGGAAUUCCGAGUGUAGAGGUGAAAUUCGUAGAUAUUCGGAAGAACACCAGUGGCGAAGGCGACUCACUGGCCCAAUACUGACGCUGAGGCGCGAAAGCGUGGGGAGCAAACAGGAUUAGAUACCCGUGUAGUCC